AGAGUUUGAUCAUGGCUCAGGACGAACGCUGGCGGCGUGCUUAACACAUGCAAGUCGAGCGGAAAGGCCCUUCGGGGUACUCGAGCGGCGAACGGGUGAGUAACACGUGAGCAAUCUGCCCUUAGCUUCGGGAUAGCUCCGGGAAACCGGAAUUAAUACCGGAUAUGACCACGGCCGACAUCAGCCAUGGUGGAAAGUUUUUCGGCUAGGGAUGAGCUCGCGGCCUAUCAGCUAGUUGGUGGGGUAAUGGCCCACCAAGGCGACGACGGGUAGCCGGCCUGAGAGGGCGACCGGCCACACUGGGACUGAGACACGGCCCAGACUUCUACGGGAGGCAGCAGUGGGGAAUAUUGCGCAAUGGGCGAAAGCCUGACGCAGCGACGCCGCGUGGGGGAUGAAUGCCUUCGGGUUGUAAACCCCUUUCAGCAGGGACGAAGCGAAAGUGACGGUACCUGCAGAAGAAGCGCCGGCUAACUACGUGCCAGCAGCCGCGGUAACACGUAGGGCGCAAGCGUUGUCCGGAAUUAUUGGGCGUAAAGAGCUCGUAGGCGGUCCGCCACGUCCGCUGUGAAAACCUGGGGCUUAACCCUAGGCUUGCAGUAGAUACGGGCAGACUAGAGGUAGGUAGGGGAGAAUGGAAUUCCCGGUGUAGCGGUGAAAUGCGCAGAUAUCGGGAGGAACACCGGUGGCGAAGGCGGUUCUCUGGGCCUUACCUGACGCUGAGGAGCGAAAGCGUGGGGAGCAAACAGGAUUAGAUACCCCCGUAGUCC
rnacentral:rRNA from 1 species